rnacentral:lncRNA from 1 species
CUUGACGCUUUUCUUUAAUUUGUUCUACAAUCGCCCGUUUCUGUUCACGUAAUUCUGUCAAAUUUCGAUUUCUGUCCUUUAAAGCGAAAUAUAUGUUAUCAUCUAGAUCUUUUAAAAUUUUUCAACGUUAGUUUAAGCUGCUGACUGAUGUCUAGAAGAUGGUGCUAGAAAAUCCUCAAUGAAAAUAGUUUCCUUGCAUUCCUUAUGACUUG